AUGAAAAUUAACUUUUUUGCUUACCCUCUGCGUUUCCUCCAUGAACUGUGGUGUGUCUGUAUCUGUCUGUGGCCUCUACGCCGCCCUCACAGCGUAUCUGUUUCUAUUUGCAGUGCAGUUCUCUUCUCCAUCUCUUCCUUUCAACAACUGAACUUUCAUCGACCACGGACCGCAGAUCUUUUGAGCAUUCCAAAAUGGAAAAGCUCAAGUGACUCGAAUUUCGUUACGCUUUCAACAGAAUGCGUACUUAAAUACUCACAUAGAAGUUUCGAGUAACUCAGUACCUAGCUAUCAUAUUCCAACGUAAAAAAAAGGACUACUCUCAUUACUUUUUGUUAUUGUUCCUGGUAAGUAUGUGUAUUGCAACGCCACCUCGAUUCAUAGUAACGACAUUCAACUCGCGCCGAAGUUAUAAUUAUCAAGUAAGUAUGCCUAUCACUAUAGAGCUUUUUAAUGACACUACCAAUUCCAACUCUUCAAUUAGAUGAAUUUACUCGUAUAUCUAUCCCCAUAUAUUUUAGGAUCAUCACGAGCGAAAAAAUUUGGAAUCGACCGGUUAUUUUUUAAAUUUUACCGCGCACAAAAAGAGAAGCACUGGUACUCCUUUUUAAAAACGUGUUCUUAAACAUUAUAUUUUAAACAUUGAAUCAUCUGAUUAUUUGCUCAGCUCAGCCAAAGUUAAGUUAAUCUUUCAAUGUAGUUAUCCGAUGGUCUCAUUUGUCAUUUGUGAACAAAAGGCGCCAUCUUGUCAGCAAAAUCUGGCAGUGACUUGGCGAGGGCCAGGGGUCCGCAAAGUUGCCGUUGAUCGAUUUUGCUACAAGAUGACGUCUUUUGUUUACUAACAAAACAAGCUUACGGCAGCGUUGGGCGAGUAACUGAAAAUGGCGGAUCGAAGCCAUUUUGCCAUCUUUGAUUAUCGAGUUUAACACGUGUAUAGUUGAUAUUAAGCGGAAAAAUUUAAAAAAGAUCGGUAGAUUUGAAUUUUACCGCGCUUUUUAACAUGAUGAAAAAUUCGAACACUCCAGUCAUAUCUAACUUCCAUUUCUCUACUACGUCUCAUGUUCACUAUGAGCGGUAACGUUUAAAAUCGACCGACUUUUUUGAAUUUCACCGCGCUUCCAGUUAGGUACGAAGAUAAUAGACUCACCUGCCAUGCAUCAUAUCUUUAUCACGCGUUGAGUUGAAAAUAAGCGGAAAAAUUUAAAAAAGAUCGGUAGAUUUGAAUUUUACCGCGCUUUUUAACAUGACGAAAAAUUCAAACACUUGUAUCAUAUCUGACACCCGUUUCCCCGCUAUAAUCUCAUGUUCACUGCGAGCGGCAACAUUUGAAAUAUAUCGACUUUUUUUAAUUUUACCGCGUUCCAACGGUAGAACGGAAAAAAACAACAAAACUUCUCGGACAUGAAUCAUUUUUGAUUAUCGCGCGUGGAGUUGAAAAUGAGCGGAAAAAUUUAAAAAAUAUCGGUAGAUUUGAAUUUUACCGCACUUUUUAACAUGAUGAAGAAUUCAAACACUCCUAUCAUAUCUCUAAUCAUAUCUAACUUCCAUUCCCUCAUUACGUCUCAUGUUCACUAUGAGCGGUAACGUUUAAAAUCGACCGACUUUUUUGAAUUUUACCGCGCUCCCACAGUGGAACGAAAAUUAACAACAAAACUCCGCGGCCAUGAAUCAUUUUUGAUUAUCGCGCGUGGAGUUGAAAAUGACCGGAAAAAUUUAAAAAAUAUCGGUAGAUUUGAAUUUUACCGCGCUUUUUAACAUGAUGAAAAAUUCAAACACUCCUAUCAUUUCUAACUUCCAUUUCUUCACUACGUCUCAUGUUCAUUAUGAGCGGUAACGUUUAAAAUCGACCGACUUUUUUAAAUUUUACCGCGCUCCCACAGUGGAACGAAAAUUAACAACAAAACUCCUCGGCCAUGAAUUAAUUUUGAUUAUCGCGCGUGGAGUUGAAAAUGAGCGGAAAAAUUUAAAAAAUAUCGAUAAAUUUGAAUUUUGCCGCGCUUUUUUACAUGAUGAAAAAUUCAAACACUCCAAUCAUAUCUAACUCCCAUUUUCCCACUACGUCGCAUGUUCACCACGAGCGGCAACAUUUGAAAUAUAUUGGCUUUUUUGAAUUUUACCGCGCUCCAACGGAGGAACUGAGAAAGCUCCAAUCAAGUGUUGACUCACCUAUGAUACACGUUCCGUUCCGAGUCCGGAAUAUGGACAUGAACUGGAAUAGGAAAAUGUAAGAGGGGGGGGGGAUGGCAAGGAAUUUUACGUCAUCAUGAGUUUUCAACAUCAAAAACAAAAUGGUCGUCAUGCACAAAUAUCUAAUUUUAUCAGGACCCAUCACGGUUGUCGUACCUAACUGCGUACCCUAAAGCCCAAGCACAUUCAAUAAUGAGAAAAGAGCAGAUUGUAUUCUUCAGAAACAAUCGGGGAAUGAUUCUUUACGAUGCUUCCUGCGAGGAAAUUAAAGGCAAAAAUAUGAUCCCUAAUAAUAAGUAUCCGUCCAAGAGGAGAGAAGCGUUCAGCUUAGGUAGAUUCAGGCAGAUGUGUACAACCACCUUCAAGAGAGAAAAUUUCAAAAAAUAAUGCAUUUGAAUUUUGAACUGUGAUGAGAGAAGUCAAUCUCUCUCGUAAGAAUAGAUUAGCGAAUGAGGAUAACAGACUGUGUUCUAAAGAAACAACCGGGGGAAGCUUCUUUACAACGCAGUCUGCUCGUAUCUCUCAUUCAAAACGGGUUUAAGUGGAUUUCAAAGCUUAGAAUGACGUGUGAGUUGGCUCAAAUCAAGAUGGUUGCCUUAGACAAACAUUUUAAUUUGAUCAAAACACAACCUGGUUGCCGUAUGUGAAUGCUUUAAUCAAUUUAAUUUACAAAAAAUAGCAGACCGUGAAGUAAAGAAUAACCAAAGUAAUUGCAACAGCUGAUCGAGAUACUAUACUUCCUUAGUUUAAUAAGUCAAUACCAUUAGUUUGAUGAUCCCCAUUUCUCAUUCACGUGACGUCACAAUUCAAGUAACGUCACGUGAUGUCAAACUGGGAAGGAAUGAGAUCUAAUAAUCAGAUCAGAGAGCGGAUUAAGAAUGGCGAUUACCCUCUGGCCCUUUGGCCUCAGCGCGUCACAGCUUUCAAAAUGGCGGCUCAACUCGAAAUGCGACCACCUUUCUUUAUCCGCCUUGUACUUUUAUUAUUGAGCCAACUGGCGAAGAUAUGUUAUUGUUUAUCGUUAAACGUAACAAUUACCUAACAUAAAUUGACCAGGACCGGAUUUACCGAUAGGCUACAGCCUAGGGCGCAACAUUUUAAGGAGCGCAAAAUGUUUGAGAAUUUAUUAAAAAACGUGACUUAUUAAAAAAUGUUUACAUUGCGGUUGACAAAGGUGUUUUUUUAAGGGUGAAUUUUAACAUUUUCCGGACAUCUAACAUCCUCCUUCUGAUCUGGAGGGGGAGGGACGUCUGGGGGGCGCUCUCGUGGAGGAGCUCCACCCUAAGUUUAGCCUAGAGCUCUGAAACUAACAAUAACAGCCGCAAUUUGGUCACCAUUAUCAAUUUUUUGACUGAUAUGUCAUCCUGGCUGCAGUCGAUAUGGAUUGGACAGAAUUUUUAAAAUUUAGCGCUCAGCUAGUGUCCACAAACUUAAUUCUGAACCCUAAGUUUAUGCGUAAGACAUUCUAGGCAUGUUAAUUCAGUGAGCGAAUAUGUAAAUCCAUUAAAGAUUCAAACACACAUUUUCAUCUAGGUACUUUUGAACAAUGGCAAACUAGAUUAGGGAACAAUCGCUCUUUAACUUCUAGCUAAGAGAGGUUUUACAAGGGCCCAUUUUUGCAAAAUUUAAACGUUCAAAUCGAACCAUUUUUAAGGAGUCCCUUGAAGUUUAUCAGAUUAUCUGAACACUCUUUGGAAGAAAAAACUCUGGUUCUUUUUUCAGUAGAAACUGUCCCCCCAGAAAAUUUUGAACCAUGCCCGUACUUAAACGGGCACUUAAUAUCUGUCAAAUUUACAAAAUAUCAAUGCCACGCAGUGUCUUUCAUUCUAUACACAUUGAUUUAAUGGUAAAUACCUAGCGAAAUCAUUUACAGAAAUUAUAGUAUGGCCCAAUAAUAAGGGUAAAUGAUAGUAUAAUGAUUGCCAAUUUCAAGAAAAAUUAGAAAAGAUUAACAUAGUGAGGAAAAAUUCAACGCCUGCCCUUGCGAUAACAUAUUGUUCUUGAAAACAAAGUGAUUUUGAUUCCCACAACGUUUCCUAUGUUCUUCUAUUCCCUGCCCUAAAUUAAGCCCGUUAAAUGCUGUAAGGGCCCAUGUCAAGUAAAUAGCGUUCUAAAAUAUCUCUUUAAAUCUCAAAUUAGGUUCAAUACCAAACUGAAAACAGUUUCUGUUCUUUCUGUAAUUCAUACAAAUUUAUUUAUCGAUAACUCUACUUCACUCUCAUUCCAAACAUAUUAAGUACUUAUGAAAGAGGCGAGUCUUUCUUUCAAUCAAUCUGCUGGAAUGAGCCCUUAGUGUGUAGUUAUUUAAAUUCGCAGCAGUAAAAUAUACAUCGGAAUAUCUACGAUUGGAUUCUAAUACAAGUAACUCUACGCUGCUGUCAAUUGAAUAUAAAUGAGCUAUUUAAUUUUUGGAGAAUAGCAGAAACCAUCAAGAAAUAGGUAGGCGUUGGAAAAAACAUCAAUAUCAUGCAUUAAAUUUGCUAACGCUGGAUUAAAAAAAAUCCAUUCUAUCGAAAGAGAUUAACUCCUCUCAUCACAAUUCAAGGGCAAAUGUUCAAUUGAAUUUUCUCACUUAAAAAUGCUUUCAUGUAUUAUUGAGCCUACACAAGCCGAUUACUUUCCUCCUUUCGCACUGAUAUUAAUGAAAGAUCAAAUUUUUGGUUUCAAUUUCCUCCCAGAGUAAUGUGGAAUCGAUAAAUACUACUCUGCCAUCCUCAGUUUUAAAAUACAUGCUUAUGAGUGUAAACUUCCUCUGCGAAGGCAUUGAAUUAGAUACACAAAGCUAAAUCGCAAGCAUUAUUCAAGCUGAGAUUGGAGUGCGACAGUUGGUCUAUCAUCUUCGUUCUUAUUUUUAAUUACGACGAUUAGCAUGAGAAAUGAUGACUGAUCCACUAAUUCACAUAAAAAUAUACAAAUGUAAGUAGUAUGAACUCCUUUUCUGAGCUGCAAUCAAAUAUGAUACACAGCUAGCUACUGCAUUCCCAUCCUAUCCAUUUCCCAUGAAAAUAAUACAUUUAAUGUGAUAGAGUUCCCAGUUUGACAAACAACCUUGACAAACAAUAUGGCGGACG
rnacentral:lncRNA from 1 species